rnacentral:tRNA from 1 species
GGGCCCAUAGCUCAAUCGGUGAGAGCUCCCCGCUCAUAACGGGGCGAGUCUCGGUUCGAGUCCGGGUGGGCCCA